GAGCUUGACCUGGCUCAGAACGAACGCUGGCGGCGUGCUUAAUACAUGCAAGUCGUGCGAGAAAGUACCCUUCGGGGUGCGAGUAGAGCGGCAAACGGGUGAGUAACACGUAAGUAACCUACCUCUAAAUCUGGAAUAACUCUGCCAACGCGGAGCUAAUACCGGAUGUGGUCACGAUGCCGCAUGGUAUUGUGACUAAAGGUGACCUCUCCUUGGAAGUUACCGUUUAGAGAUGGGCUUGCGGACCAUUAGCUAGUUGGUGAGGUAACGGCUCACCAAGGCUACGAUGGAUAGCCGGCCUAAGAGGGUGAUCGGCCACAUUGGGACUGAGAUACGGCCCAGACUCCUACGGGAGGCAGCAGUAGGGAAUUUUGCGCAAUGGACGAAAGUCUGACGCAGCAACGUCGCGUGAGGGAUGACGGCCUUCGGGUUGUAAACCUCUGUUGAGUGGGAAGAAAAGCUUUGUGGUUAAUAUCCACAGAGUCUGACGGUACCACUCGAGGAAGCUCCGGCUAACUACGUGCCAGCAGCCGCGGUAAUACGUAGGGGGCUAGCGUUGUUCGGAAUCACUGGGCGUAAAGGGAGUGUAGGCGGACCGGUAAGUUAGGAGUUAAAUGUACGGGCUCAACCCGUGAUCUGCUUUUAAUACUGUCGGUCUUGAGUAUGGGAGAGGGAGAUGGAAUUCCAGGUGUAGCGGUGGAAUGCGUAGAUAUCUGGAAGAACACCAGUUGCGAAGGCGGUCUCCUGGACCAAUACUGACGCUGAUGCUCGAAAGCUGGGGGAGCGAACAGGAUUAGAUACCCUGGUAGUCCCAGCCGUAAACGAUGGACACUAGUUGCCGGAGGAGUCAAUCCCUUCGGUG
rnacentral:rRNA from 1 species